ACCUGACGCAGCGACGCCGCGUGGUGAUGAAGGCCUUCGGGUCGUAAAGCCCUGUCAAGAGGGACGAAACCUCGUCGACCUAACACGUCGGCGACCUGACGGUACCUCUGAAGGAAGCACCGGCUAACUCCGUGCCAGCAGCCGCGGUAAUACGGAGGGUGCAAGCGUUGUUCGGAGUCACUGGGCGUAAAGCGCGUGUAGGCGGCCUCCUCAGUCUGGUGUGAAAGCCCGGGGCUCACCCCCCGGAAGUGCAUUGGAUACUGGGAGGCUGGAGUACCGGAGAGGAGGGUGGAAUUCCUGGUGUAGCGGUGAAAUGCGUAGAUAUCAGGAGGAACACCGGUGGCGAAGGCGGCCCUCUGGACGGAUACUGACGCUGAGACGCGACAGCGUGGGGAGCAAACAGGAUUAGAUACCCUGGUAGUCCACGCCGUAAACGAUGGGUACUAGGUGUUCGGGGUAUUGACCCCCUGAGUGCCGCAGCUAACGCAUUAAGUACCCCGCCUGGGGACUACGGCCGCAAGGCUA
rnacentral:rRNA from 1 species